rnacentral:rRNA from 1 species
CGGAACACGUACGCAAUCUACCCAAAACUGAUGAAUAGCCCUCCGAAAGGAGGAUUAAUACAUCGUAACCUGAUAGAGUAGCAUUACUUUAUUAGUAUAGCUCCGGCGGUUUUGGAUGAGCGUGCGCCUGAUUAGGUAGUUGGCGGGGUAACGGCCCACCAAGCCUGCGAUCAGUAACUGGUGUGAGAGCACGACCAGUCACACGGGCACUGAGACACGGGCCCG